rnacentral:rRNA from 1 species
CAGUCGCCACGGGAAUACGAAGGGGGCUAGCGUUGCUCGGAAUUACUGGGCGUAAAGGGAGCGUAGGCGGAUCGUUUAGUCAGGGGUGAAAUCCCGGGACUCAACCUCGGAACUGCCUUUGAUACUGGCGAUCUUGAGUAUGGGAGAGGUGUGUGGAACUCCGAGUGUAGAGGUGAAAUUCGUAGAUAUUCGGAAGAACACCAGUGGCGAAGGCGACACACUGGCCCAUUACUGACGCUGAGGCUCGAAAGCGUGGGGAGCAAACAGGAUUAGAUACCCCUGUAGUCCCUGUCUCUUAUAC